CAGGAAUGGAAGCGCCGACGAGCUGCUGCCUGUCGCCGACCUCGACUUCCUCAUGCUCCCAGCCAUGCUGUUGCCCAGUUCAAUCAACUCUGAAACUAUCAGGUGUCCCCUCAAAUCCCCAUGCAAGGUCGUCGAGGAGCAACGUUGCAAUCGCCUCCGCUAAUGACGCCCUGUCACAGGGUUGUGCAGAACUUCUCGUGAUGGUCCUGCAGCAGGGGAUGACAGCUAACGUGUCGAUGAAUCAUUCAGGGUUUAAUUUAUGCAGACGGAAUAAAGAUCCAUGUUCAUCCCUCCAUUGUGUGCUGGUGCCAUACAUCAGUGUGUCACCUCAGAGCGAACCUAAGGUAGCAACCCCUGAAAUGCAUGUAUUUGGAAACUAUUUGUUAGUACACCAGGUGUCCUUUUGUUAUAGGUACACAUGCUAGCCUGUACAUCAGUUAAAAUUUGUAUUAUAUAUAUAUGGAUAUAAACAAUUUUUUUAGUUUGCACAACUAAUUGUUAACUACAUAUUUUUUUUGGAUAUGAACAAUUCUUAUUAGUUUUCAUAACUAAUUGUUAGCUACAUAUUUUUUUUACACUUCGAUUCUUAUCUCGAUAUUAUUUGUCACACAUUAUCUUUACGUUUUCCUUCCACUACACUACCCAGAGUGCCAAAAAAUACCACCACUCACUCACUAUAUGGCCCGGCGCCGCCGGACCGUUCAUUUUAGAGACUGUCAUGUCAUUUUAGAGAGUGCCGCCAAGCGAACUAAAUUCCACCAGAUCGUGUUUAACCAACCAACUCGACCUUCUUAAAGCUACUAGCUGCACGUAUACAAUGGUUAAAUUACUUGUAGGACAUGCUUCACUUGAAAGCACAGAGUGUUCACUUCAGAGAGUGUCGUGUCUAUGUGAUCUGUACUUCCUAUUAAUAGCAGGUUCCAUGUCUUGCCACAGUUAGUGUUUCGCUUCCUGCAUUUUGUUGUGUUAUAUAAAACUGUGGUCAAUCGAUCUACUUAAAACUAUCCCUUGUCUUUUAUGUCUUUAUAUGAACUGCCCUAUUUGGUGUAAUCAGUUUGCGCAGUAUUGACCUAUGGUCUCUAUAAACUGCUUCUUCCCCUGCUUAUCCAUUUCUUUUAUUCGUCAGUUUGCCGAGAACAAAGUUUUUGUUCUUUUCGCCAGUCCACCGAAGAUAUGCUUCAGUGAAUUAUUUUAACCGGGAAUGAAAUAUUGUUUCAUCCUUUCCCUAAUACAGAAAAGGCACUACAACCCUAAAUCUAGGCGGAACAGAAGAGGUUUUGCGCAUCAAUAGAUAUGUGCUUAUCGGUUUUUUGCAGCCAGUCCACUGGUUGAUCUAAGAAGCAUAUAUAGCUAUUGAACGACUCCUCAUCACCUCUAAAUAGCUAGCCUUUACAACGGUAUUGCCGAGCAGAUGCUAUCUCUAUAUUGUGCUCUAGAAGAGAUCAAGAGACAAGAUCGAUGAAGUAUCCAUUUGUGCUCACAUGUACUGCUCCUUCUCACAAGAUAAUGAGGAUACCAGACAAGAUUGCAGUAGGUUCCUGACAGUCACAUGCCAAAAAGCUCUUCCUCCAAAAAUAUAGCUAACCUUUGUUCAUGAAUGUUGAUUUUGCCCUGUAGUCUAAACUAAGAUAAGUUGCCCAACUUAAAAGCUGUUGCUUUUAAACUGUAAUUUAAGCUUUUGUCCAGAAACAUAUGUAGUUAUUCAAGUCCCCCAACUUCAGAUAAGUGCAUUUUAUACCCUGUAAUCUGAACUUACUGCCAUGGAUUGACUAUGUGCUUGGUCCCUUUAAUCUGGUAACGACAGACAAUACAAUAGCGGGCAACAGCAACUCAGAUCUCGGCAAUAUAGUCAGUACUUAUAAUUGCAUUGCGUGGUACACUCAAAAUGUUGCCGUUGCAUCUUACAGAUUUAACUCAGGUCUCCGGAGAUGGCAACUACAAGUGCUCGCUGCUUGAUAUAUCUGUAGAGGCUAAUGCACUUUCAAGUAAGGAUAUUGUGCUUAGGUGGCUUCUGCUUAAUUCCAAUAUAUUGUCUUAUAGUGGUCGGAUAUCCAUUGUAACAUAGUUUGUUGCUUCUCUUUUCUUUGGACCAUGUUGGUCCUUAUGGUUGU